GACGAACCGUGCGAACGUUGUUCGGAAUCACUGGGCUUAAAGGGCGCGUAGGCGGGUUUGCAAGUCUGCGGUGAAAGCCUCCAGCUUAACUGGAGAAGUGCCGUGGAUACUGCGGAUCUCGAGGAGGGUAGGGGCAUCUGGAACGGUCGGUGGAGCGGUGAAAUGCGUUGAUAUCGACCGGAACUCCGGUGGCGAAGGCGAGGUGCUGGACCCUUUCUGACGCUGAGGCGCGAAAGCCAGGGGAGCGGAACGGG
rnacentral:rRNA from 1 species